rnacentral:rRNA from 1 species
UACGUAGGCAGCAAGCGUUGUUCGGAGUUACUGGGCGUAAAGGGUGUGUAGGCGGUUGGAUAAGUGUGGUGUGAAAUCUCCCGGCUCAACUGGGAGGGUGCGCUACAAACUGUCUGACUAGAGUGCGGGAUGGGAAAGUGGAAUUCCUGGUGUAGCGGUGAAAUGCGCAGAUAUCAGGAAGAACACCCGUGGCGAAGGCGGCUCUCUGGGACGGUACUGACGCUGAGACGCGAAAGCGUGGGGAGCGAACAGG